AGCUACAGUCUAAAGAAGUAGAGCUUCUGC
rnacentral:piRNA from 1 species